rnacentral:rRNA from 1 species
CUUCCGUAGGUGAACCUGCGGAGGGAUCAUUACACAACAAAAUAUGAAGGCCUGGCUUUCGCGGCCGGCUGAAGUAUUUUUUUCACCCAUGUCUUUUGCGCACUUGUUGUUUCCUGGGCGGGUUCGCCCGCCACCAGGACCAAACCAUAAACCUUUUUUUCUUAUGCAGUUUCCAUCAGCGUCAGUAAAAACAAUGUAAUUAUUACAACUUUCAACAACGGAUCUCUUGGUUCUGGCAUCGAUGAAGAACGCAGCGAAAUGCGAUACGUAGUGUGAAUUGCAGAAUUCAGUGAAUCAUCGAAUCUUUGAACGCACAUUGCGCCCUUUGGUAUUCCAAAGGGCAUGCCUGUUCGAGCGUCAUUUGUACCUUCAAGCUUUGCUUGGUGUUGGGCGUUUUUUUGUCUCCCUCUUUCUGGGAGACUCGCCUUAAAACGAUUGGCAGCCGGCCUACUGGUUUCGGAGCGCAGCACAUUUUUUGCGCUUUGUAUCAGGAGAAAAGGACGGUACUCCAUCAAGACUCUACAUUUUUCACUUUUGACCUCGGAUCAGGUAGGGAUACCCGCUGAACUUAAGCAUAUCAAUAAGCGGAGGAAA